AACACCUGAGAUCCCCGAAACACCUAAUAAACCAACUGGUAUUCACCCUCUGAUGCCCUUGUACACUUCAUGGCCUGUAUGUCUGGGUCUCCUGUUGGCUGUUUGGGUUGUUUUUGUGUUGAUAAGGAGGAAGGUGAAGACUGCAGGAGGAUCUGAGGCUGUGGAGCUACAGAGCCUCUGAACUGGAGAAGAAAACCCUGGAAGAGAUGGAGCGCAAGCUUUUAUUAUUUCUGUCUUUUAUAUUUGAUAUACUUUUU